rnacentral:tmRNA from 1 species
GGGGAUGACUGGUUUCGACUUCGUUCGUUGCGUCAGGGGAAGCGAGUCGAGAAGCCGACGUCAACUCGUAAAUCGUCGUCGGAAAACAAUAAGCGCCAACUCAAAACGCGCUGACUUCGCUCUCGCUGCUGCUUAAGCGAUUGUGAGUCUGUCGGUCCGGGGAUGCCUUCGACCCGGGUGCCGGCAUCAGCUAGAAGGAUUACCAAAAGAGUCCGGUAACGGGACUCAUGCGGGACAUCAAACAGUUGCUGGGCCCGUCGCACCAUCUCGCUCACGUGAAUGGUGGGGUCAAGUAGGGACAUAGUGAGCUGCACUCGGAGAAGCCCUGAUUAGGCGGCGGAGGACCCGGGUUCGAUUCCCGGCAUCUCCACCA